GAUGAACGCUGGCGGCGUGCUUAACACAUGCAAGUCGAACGGAAAGGCUCCUGCUUGCAGGGGUACUCGAGUGGCGAACGGGUGAGUAACACGUGGGUGAUCUGCCCUGCACUUCGGGAUAAGCCUGGGAAACUGGGUCUAAUACCGGAUAGGACGAUGGUUUGGAUGCCAUUGUGGAAAGUUUUUCGGUGUGGGAUGAGCUCGCGGCCUAUCAGCUUGUUGGUGGGGUAAUGGCCUAACAAGGCGUCGACGGGUAGCCGGCCUGAGAGGGUGUACGGCCACAUUGGGACUGAGAUACGGCCCAGACUCCUACGGGAGGCAGCAGUGGGGAAUAUUGCACAAUGGGCGCAAGCCUGAUGCAGCGACGCCGCGUGGGGGAUGACGGCCUUCGGGUUGUAAACUCCUUUCGCUAGGGACGAAGCGCAAGUGACGGUACCUGGAGAAGAAGCACCGGCUAACUACGUG
rnacentral:rRNA from 1 species